GUUUGCUGAUUUGCAUGUGCCCAGAGCCCAGCCCACUGUUCAGUUGACUUCUUUAUAGUCAGGUCUCACCCUGUGCUGGAGUCAGCUUCACACAUGUUACACAGAAACAUGAAUGUGCCCACUCAACUCCUUGGGUUGCUGAUACUCUGGCUUACAGGUGGUAAAUGUGACAUCCAGAUGACACAGUCUCCUGCCUCCCUGUCUGCAUCUCUGGAAGAAAUUGUCACGAUCACAUGCCAGGCAAGCCAGGACAUUGGUAAUUGGUUAGCAUGGUAUCAGCAGAAACCAGGGAAAUCUCCUCAGCUCCUGAUCUAUGGUGCAACCAGCUUGGCAGAUGGGGUCCCAUCAAGGUUCAGCGGCAGUAGAUCUGGCACACAGUAUUCUCUCAAGAUCAGCAGACUACAGGUUGAAGAUCCUGGAAUCUAUUACUGUCUACAGGGUUAUAGUGCUCCUCCCACAGUGAUUCAGGCCAUGACAUAA